rnacentral:tRNA from 1 species
UCCGGGGUAGCUCAAUGGUAGAGCGACUGGCUGUUAACCAGUGGGUUGCAGGUUCGAAUCCUGCCCCCGGAG